UUCGCCCUUAGAGUUUGAUCCUGGCUCAGAGCGAACGCUGGCGGCAGGCCUAACACAUGCAAGUCGAACGGACCCUUCGGGGUUAGUGGCGGACGGGUGAGUAACACGUGGGAACGUGCCUUUAGGUUCGGAAUAGCUCCUGGAAACGGGUGGUAAUGCCGAAUGUGCCCUUCGGGGGAAAGAUUUAUCGCCUUUAGAGCGGCCCGCGUCUGAUUAGCUAGUUGGUGAGGUAACGGCUCACCAAGGCGACGAUUAUUAUCUGGUCUGAGAGGAUGACCAGCCACACUGGGACUGAGACACGGUCCAGAUUCAUGCGGGAGGCGGCUGUGGGGAGUCUUGCGCAAUGAAGAAAAGCCUGAGGCAACCAUGCGGCGUGAAUGAUGAAGGUAGUAGGAUUGUAAAGUUCUUUCACCGGGGACGGUGAUACGGGUACCCGGAGAAGAAGCCCCGGCGAACUUCGUGCCAGCAGCCGCGGUAAUACGAAGGGGGCUGGCGUUGCUCGGAAUUACUGAGCGUAAAGGGCGCGUGGGCGGAUCGUUAAGUCAGAGGAGAAAUCCCAGGGCUCAACCCUGGAAGUGCCUUGGGUGCGGGCGAUCGUGAGUAUGAGAGAGGUAUGGGGAACUCCGGAGUAUAGAGGUGAAAUUCGUAGAUAUUGGGAAGAACACCAGUGGCGAAGGCGACAUACGGGCUCAUUACUGAACGCUGAGGCGCGAAAGCGUGGGGAGCAAACAGGAUUAGAUACCCUGGUAGUCCACGCCGU
rnacentral:rRNA from 1 species